rnacentral:misc_RNA from 1 species
GAAAUGCGAUAAGUAAUGUGAAUUGCAGAAUUCAGUGAAUCAUCGAAUCUUUGAACGCACAUUGCGCCCGUCAGCAUUCUGGCGGGCAUGCCUGUUCGAGCGUCAUUUCAACCCUCAGGACCCCCCUUUCGCGGGGAGGGACCUGGCGUUGGGGAUCGGCCCGCCCCCCGCGGCGGCGCCGUCCCCGAAAUCUAGUGGCGGUCUCGCUGCAGCCUCCCCUGCGUAGUAGUUACAACCUCGCAUCGGAGCGCGGCGCGGCCACGCCGUAAAACCCCCGACUUUCUGAACGUUGACCUCGGAUCAGGUAGGAAUACCCGCUGAACUUAAG